UAAAUAUUGUCUACUGGGAAGAGUAAAUAGGCUUGAAUUUAACAGAGAGUACAAGAAUGCUGAAAAUGUACAAUUUAACUUAUUGAAGGUAGCCCACAUUGAACUUUAACUGAACACUAAUCAUAUGAAGAUAUCUGUUUAAUAGGUUAAAGCGUGCUUGAGCGUUAAUCAUGUAAUUAAGUGCUUGAAAUUAGUUUGUAAUUUCUUGAAUUUAGGUGGUACCACGGAAUAUCCGUCCUAUUU
rnacentral:ncRNA from 1 species